UCGGCUUAGAGUUUGAUCCUGGCUCAGAACGAACGCUGGCGGCGUACUUAACACGUGCAAGUCGAACGCGAAAUUGCUCCUUCGGGAGCAAGAGUAAAGUGGCGCACGGGUGAGUAACGCGUAGGUAAUCUACCCUCGGGUCUGGAAUAACUCCGCGAAAGCGGUGCUAAUACCGGAUAAUAUUCAUCGGAGGGAUCCGGUGAAUCAAAGGUGGCCUCUCCUUGGAAGCUACCGCUUGAGGAUGAGCCCGCGUCUCAUUAGCUUGUUGGUGGGGUAAUGGCCUACCAAGGCUUUGAUGGGUAGCCGGCUUGAGAGGGUGAACGGCCACAUUGGCACUGGAACACGGGCCAGACUCCUACGGGAGGCAGCAGUGAGGAAUAUUGCGCAAUGGGCGAAAGCCUGACGCAGCAACGCCGCGUGAGCGAUGAAGGCCUCCGGGUUGUAAAGCUCUGUCAGCGGGGACGAAUCCCCUUCCGGGUAAAUAGUCCGGAAGACUGACGGUACCCGCAAAGGAAGCCCCGGCUAACUCUCC
rnacentral:rRNA from 1 species